AUGGCUGCUUUACUACCAGCUGGUGAAGAGGAAGCUAUUCCUAGCGCCACGGAUUUAGGAGGCAGUAGCCAGAUGAACCCUGGACUGGGCAGAAAUUGGAGCACUACUACCCAAGGGCUGGAUGGGCUAUCUGAGCGCUGUGCCCAGUACAAGAAGGACGGAGCUGACUUUGCCAAGUGGCGCUGUGUGCUGAAGAUUGGGGAACACACCCCCUCAGCCCUUGCCAUCAUGGAAAAUGCCAAUGUUCUGACCCGUUAUGCCAGCAUCUGCCAGCAGAAUGGCAUCGUGCCCAUCGUGGAGCCUGAGAUCCUCCUGGAUGGGGACCACGACUUGAAAUGCUGUCAGUAUGUAACCGAGAAGGUGCUGGCUGCCGUGUAUAAGGCUCUGAGUGACCACCACAUCUACCUGGAAGGCACUCUGCUGAAGCCCAACAUGGUAACCCCAGGCCAUGCCUGCACCCAGAAAUACUCUCAUGAGGAGAUUGCCAUGGCAACCGUCACAGCACUGCGCCGCACAGUGCCCCCUGCUGUCACUGGGAUCACCUUCCUGUCUGGAGGCCAGAGUGAGGACGAGGCAUCCAUCAACCUCAACGCCAUCAACAAGUGCCCCCUGCUGAAGCCGUGGGCCCUGACCUUCUCCUAUGGCCGAGCGCUUCAGGCUUCUGCCCUGAAGGCCUGGGGUGGGAAGAAGGAGAACCUGAAGGCUGCCCAGGAGGAGUACAUCAAGCGAGCCCUGGCCAACAGCCUUGCCUGUCAAGAAAAGUACACCCCAUGUGGUCAGGCCGGGGCUGCAGCCAGCGAGUCCCUCUUCAUCUCUAGCCAUGCCUACUAAGCGGAGGUGUCCUAAGGCUACCCCCUCAACACUCCAGCCCCUGCCCCCUCCACCCUCACUCUUGAAGAUGGGGGCCUCAGUGGGGCUCCAGGCUGCUCUUUCCCAUCACUUUGCCUCCCACGUGACAUUGGUGUGUGGUGUUGUCUGUCUAUGCUAACUCCAUUGCUCUUUCCAGCCCACUGCCAAUAAACAACUAUUUAAGGGGGAAAAAAAAA